rnacentral:tRNA from 1 species
GUUCUUGUAGUUGAAUACAACGGUGGUUUUUCAAAUCAUUAGUCUUGGUUAAAAUCCUAGUAAGAAUU